UUUAAAAAGAGCUGAUUGUGGCAGCAGUUGCUGUCAAGAAAAAGAUGCUAUUAUUGGCGAACUCAAGUUGGAAAUCAAAUUUCAAAAAGAUCUCAAUAAGACGUUAUCAAUGCAGACGACUGUUUUGACUGACGUGAGGAAGUUGUUAUUGAAGUUCAGUAGCCAGCAACUAAUAUCUACACCUAGCCAGCAACUAGCUCCACCUAGUACGUCUAACAGCGGCAACUUUUUAAAUUAUGCCAACCAGUCAAGCACAUCAGGCAAUUUGACGGGCCAUCCAAAAUUUGUUGGGGGAAACUGUGCUCAGAUGCCAAACUCAGAAAUGUCAGAUAAGAUUGGCAGCGACUCAUUGGGAGAUACGUUAUCCACGAUCGAGGAUGAAAGUGAUGGCCAACUUUACGAUC